rnacentral:rRNA from 1 species
AAGACCUUGUGCUUUUGGAGCGGCCGAUGUCUGAUUAGCUAGUUGGUAGGGUAAUGGCUCACCAAGGCGUCGAUCAGUAGUUGGUCUGAGAGGACGACCAGCCACACUGGGACUGAGACACGGCCCAGACUCCUACGGGAGGCAGCAGUGGGGAAUUUUGGACAAUGGGCGCAAGCCUGAUCCAGCCAUGCCGCGUGAGUGAAGAAGGCCUUCGGGUUGUAAAGCUCUUUCAGUCGAGAAGAAAAGGUCACGGCUAAUAAUCGUGAUCCAUGACGGUAUCGACAGAAGAAGCACCGGCUAACUACGUGCCAGCAGCCGCGGUAAUACGUAGGGUGCGAGCGUUAAUCGGAAUUACUGGGCGUAAAGGGUGCGCAGGCGGCUUUGUAAGUCAGAUGUGAAAUCCCCGGGCUUAACCUGGGAACU